rnacentral:tRNA from 1 species
GGGGCUAUGGCGCAGCUGGUAGCGCAUCUGCUUUGCAAGCAGAGGGUCACCGGUUCGAACCCGGUUAGCUCCA